rnacentral:rRNA from 1 species
UACACAUGCUAGUCUGAACGAAGAUCUUCGGUAUCUAGUGGCGGACGGGUGAGUAACGCGUGGGAAUAUGCCCUUUGGUACGGAAUAGCCUCGGGAAACUGAGAGUAAUACCGUAUGUGUCCUCUGAUCGUGGUGGUUGGAGGAGAAAGAUUUAUCGCCAAAGGAUUAGCCCGCGUUGGAUUAGAUAGUUGGUGGGGUAAUGGCCUACCAAGUCUACGAUCCAUAGCUGGUUUGAGAGGAUGAUCAGCCACACUGGGACUGAGACACGGCCCAGACUCCUACGGGAGGCAGCAGUGGGGAAUCUUAGACAAUGGGGGCAACCCUGAUCUAGCCAUGCCGCGUGAUCGAUGAAGGCCUUAGGGUUGUAAAGAUCUUUCAGUUGGGAAGAUAAUGACGGUACCAACAGAAGAAGCCCCGGCUAACUCCGUGCCAGCAGCCGCGGUAAUACGGAGGGGGCUAGCGUUAUUCGGAAUUACUGGGCGUAAAGCGCACGUAGGCGGACUGGAAAGUUAGAGGUGAAAUCCCAGGGCUCAACCUUGGAACUGCCUUUAAAACUAUCAGUCUAGAGAUCGAGAGAGGUGAGUGGAAUUCCGAGUGUAGAGGUGAAAAUUCGUAGAUAUUCGGAGGAACACCAGUGGCGAAGGGGCUCACUGGCUCGAUACUGACGCUGAGGUGCGAACGCUGGGGAGC